CUGCAUUCAGAAGGUGUGUGUGUCUUAUGCUGAAGAAGAAUGGGGGUUUGCCUUGGGGCUUAAAUUAGCAUACAAAGGAAGAAAUGCCUUAAGAGGCAGAUCAGCAGGGUUAUUUAAAACAUAAACCAACCCAAGGAUGACAGGGCCUACAGGGCAGGAAGGUGUCUCAGUGCCAGUAGAUGGUGCUCUGCAAGCUGCCUUUGUGGGUGGGUUGAGCUCCGCACUGAUCUCAGUGUUGUGCAGCACCCCAAGACCUUUGUGACUUGUUGCUGCUCCAAUGCAGAGGUCGUUGUGACUUUGCUAGUAGCACGCCUAGGGGAGUUGUGCAGAAAGCAGAUGGAUUUUGUGGGUGUCUUUCGCUGAGUGUUGGCCUCCAGGAACAUUUACCAAAAAGAGCAUUCCCAUGAUACACCAUCAUCUUCUCCAGAACAAACACAAAGGAGAUGUGUCCAUGUCACAGUGUGACCUUCCCCCCGCACACCCCAGUGCUUGACUGUGCAGGGAGCAGAGCUGGCUGGGUGUGCUUGCCUGGGACUCCUGACUUGACGUUCAUGCCAGGACAUUCAUUGCAAUUACCCUUGAUUUGAGAGCAGCCUCUAAAGGAAAUAAAAAUGACAGCUUUGGAGCAAUCCUGUUGUGCAGCAUGAUGGCUCUUGGCAGCAGGAGACCUAAUCACCCUCCUGAAGGCUGCUAUUCCAACGCGGGAUCUGAACAGACAAGUCUUCAAGGAACGGAAUCUGUAACAGCAUUAAAAGGCUAGGGAAUUGAAUCCCAGAGCCUCAGAGGGGCAAUUUCAAGUCCUCAGCCAACUGAAGUUGAACUGUACACCUAUGGCAAGCUAAUUCCCAGCCCCGAGCUUUACCUCAUCGUAGGUCACAGAAACGACAACUUCAGAAUACCUGGAGUGAUGAUGGAGUGAUGAUGUGACCUUUUGCACUGUGGGGGAGGCAUUCCGUGCUCCGAUGGCUGUGGGCUCCUGUUAGCUCCAAUCUCCCCCAUCAUCACCGAAGACCAUUUCUGUUGGCAGAGAAGAAAGGGAAGAAGCCCUGCCUGCUGCCUUCUCCUGAGCACACUGCCCGAGAGCCAACAGCCUGGACCACAGGAGGCUUCCAGAUGCUGGCAGAGAAGCAGGAAUCAUUACAACGGAGCAGAGCCCCACACAAAGACAUGGCAUGAUGUAAUGGACUGCUCUGAAGGGGAGCUCACUGUUCUUCAGAAGGAGAGCUGUUACAACACGGAGAAUAGAUCUGCGGGGCUGAUCCAGGUGUGCUGGUUCUGAUGGGAGCCGGGAGAGAAACGGAGCAGGAGCUCCUGACACCCGCCGGCAGGCGAUGAAUUAGUGCAGCACAGCUGGAGCUGCUUGAGGGCUGCAGAUGCAAAUCCCAGAGCUGUUCCUGCAUGUACCGGAGACAGUGCGGCCAGUCUGGGGGUUCCCAUAUAUAAGAUAUGUCGAGGUGCUAGAGCGAAGCUGAGAAAAAAUGUAUCUUUGAAGAGGCAAAGUGGACAUGUCAUUGAUGUCUAUGGUUAUUAAGAGGGGGAUGUGCAGAAGGGAGAACCAGACUGUCCUUGGAGAUGCACGGCGACAGGACGAGAGGCAACAAGCACAAAUGGCAGCAUGGAAAUUCUCAAUAGAGAGUGAAAAAUGCCCACCAUGAGAAUGUUCAAAUGGCAGACUGGGAGCCCAGAAAGGCUGUGAGACUCCAGUGUAUGAGAUGCUCAAAACUCAGCCGGACAUAGCAGCCUGGUAAGAUGGGCCUGCAUGGACUGGAAGCCAUGCUUUUAAUUGCAGCUGGUGUGACCUCUGUGUGACACUGGGGUGACAUUAUCCAAGCCUCUUAAGCAGAAGCCCGGUCCCAUCCCAGUUAAAUCUGCCAGGUGAGUCCACUUACUUCUAAAUGAUGUUGGUCUCUAUCAGCAUUGCAGGAUGCAUCUUGCUGCCACUGUCCUCUCCUAGGGGCAGUUUCAAGCACAACCCUUUGAAACACGAAGCAGGAGUGGGAUGCUAGGUAUGGCUCCCUAGAGAAAAGCCACUCCCAAAGCCAGCAGGAUGCCACAGCUCUACAGAGGGAUUCUGCUCACGGUGUCAUCACUUCCCAUGUGUGUCCCCUGUGGAUCCUGCUGUGACACAGAGGCGUCAGAUGAACCCGUGUGUCUCCUGCACACUCAACACCUGAACACGUCAGAUGUGCACUUCUGGAAGGAGCAGUGAGAGAUGCCAUCACUCACAGUCUGUCAGUGGCCGCUGCCCAAUUCCAGGCUCCCCACAGAGCCUGCACCCUACAAGAGGAGUGCUCAGCCCCUUCCCCAGCAUUCAGGUCUCAGUGUAACUCAAUCCCAGGGCUCUCCAUACCUACCCUCUGUCUGCAGAGUCCUUUUGCAGGCUUGCUGACAUUUAUAUACCAUUCUAAAUAUCACUGAAGCAUUGCUGGGAGAGAGGAAAUGUGGAAUGAAUGACACAGACUUGCAAGCAGCAAAGGGAAGAAGGUGGUGCCGAGUUUGAUUGUAGUAACUGUGCCAACACCCCCAAGGAACACAGCCUCCCACAGACACUGUGCCUUUUCCAGGUGAUGAAAUGAACUUCUUUAGCUUUAACCCUAAGUAAACGAUGGCCCAGCUCAUAAAACAUCCUGGAGCGCAGAACUGUUUACAGACUUUUAUUUGUCUUGAGCUUCGUGCUUUGUAAGAUUGGAGGUGAUUUCAUUACCUGGCUUUGUGCAAUGUCAUUCCGGCAACUGGAUCAUAAGUGCCACGUGGAUGUUUACAGUCAUGGGGAAAUACAUUAUGGCCAGAAAGGACGGCUGCAGAUUAAUAGAAAUAUUCUUCUGGAACACCCGAGGGCCAAUCCUGAGGAUCGAUCCUCUCUUGCUUCUUCUUAAUCUGAAUUCUACUUUGCUCUUAGCUGGAGCUGGAGAGAACCUCCCCUGCCCCUGGUGCUGCUUAGGGCAGGACCAAGCCGUCCCCUCCCUGUAAAGGGGCAUUGGAAUGGGGGAACAUUUAUUUCCCCCUGGAAUUAUUGCCCCUGCUUCAUGGUGGAUGGGAGCAGCAGUGAGGCACACCCAGCUUGGGUGUCACAUGAAACGGAGCUUGGUCAGCUUCCAGGAGUGGAAUUCAGCCUUUUCUUUUCCAAGAAAGGAUGCAAGCAAUUUGUCUUUAGAAUACUAUAAAGACGCCUCAAGAAUAUCAUAUAGUCUGCUAGUGCUGCAGAGAACCUCUUAAAAACUUAAUUGCCUGUGUCACCAAAUGAGGAGAGAGCAGUCCCUUGAAAGAUCCAGUGUUUUGAAAACAAGCAGUCAGUUCUAAAUACUUUCAAAUGGUACAUGCUUCUUUACUCCUGCUGACAAUAAGAGUAAUUGCUGAGCACAGGAUAAAGGAGAUUGUCUGAAAUGUUUUAUUUUCUUGUUGCAUCCUUUUUUUUUUUUUUCCUACAAUGCAAAAAGACAGAGGCGUCCUUGGGCUGCAACCAGUCAGACAGAGAGGUUUCCAAGAGGCAGGUGAGAGGCAGAGAUCUCAACAGCAAAGUGACUCUCCUGGUUUGAGAGCACCUCCGCUCUCACCACUCGUGCUGUGAGUGCUGCCUGCAGGGAUGACAGAUCAGGACGUUUCCUCCCAUCAUUUACUCACUGCACUGCCUCACUAACAUCUCUAUUAAUUCUGGGAUACAGAAGACCUCGAGCAUCUCCGUUUGCUCACUCACCUCUGACUUUUACUGUGGCCAUAGUGUUCAGUGUGCGUGGUUCCAUCACCCGGCCUGCUCAGAGCUGAUGUCAGUGUCUGCCAUCACUCUGUUUGCCCAUUAAGGACUUGUUGGCUCCCUGCAUUUUCCUGUGUGGCCCACGGUGCAGCGUAGUGCACUGGAAAGCAAUAUCCAUUCUAACGUGAUGUGACAUGGGAAACCUCAGAGGAAGCACAGGCUUAUGCUGGCUGUGCUGCUGCACAGUCAAUAGUCCUCCUUUAUGCCUGCCAUUAAAGCAGGAGCAAACAGUUAUGAUCUAUGGCUUGACUUUUUAUCUAUUUAUCUUUUUAUCUUUUUACCUUUUGAUCUAUAGCUUCUUUUUAUUUAUGCAAUCACCACGUUUUGUUUUGGGUUGUUAUUUUUUGUUGUUGUUUUUCCUUGGUAAGCAAGUAGAUAUGCAAAGCACAGCAGAUGUCCCGAACUUGAAGAGCCAAGGGAACAUUUCUUCUUGGCCCUUAGAUGAAAUGGACUGGGCUGUGCUCCAGGAAAUAGGAAUGAUUAAUCCAUCAUUGAACAUGAACUUAAACGAGCUAAAAUUGGGCAUUUUAGUUCUGAUGUAUGCGCUAAGUGAAAGAAUCAUUCAGAGGAUAAAAGUAAUGGCUUUGGGACGGUGUUGUAAGACAGAGCGGCUCUGCAGGAGCAGGAGGGUGAGAGCAGCAGGGCUGAGUGCACGCUACUAUGCUUCCUGAGUGCAGGAAUGGGAACUGCUGCAUGACCCCAACAGUCUGCAGUGUGGGUUCAGUGCUGUGACACACACUGCCUGCUCCAGCCCCAGCUCGGUGGCUUUAGGCUUAGGAUGUGCUCCAGCUGCCAGAGUGAGUCCUUCCUUUCGUUAUCCGCUGUUCUAGUUGUGCCAUUAGCCACAAUUACACCCUUAAGCCAGAGACGGCAAUUGAUAUUUUAUCAUUGGGAUUUUUUUGCCGUGGCUUUUGUACCCAUCUGGAGUGAACAAACUAUUACAAGUUUCAUCCAAUUAUGCUAAGUGUGGUUGGACACACUGCGCCCAGCACAAUCUCUUUUCAAUGGAGAGAGGGGCAGUCCGUUAUCAGCUCGAGGCACCAUCAUUCAUUAAGACAUCAUUUGCCUCUCGCCAGCAGAGCCGAAGCAGCAAAUCUGUAGGAUGUCAUAUUAAGGUGUGAUAAUGAAAGAUAGGCAGAACGGGAUUAACAAAGGGGUCCUCUCCACAUUAUACCUUCCUCUGACUACUUUGCUCAGUCCCAGCCUUUUAUGAUCUCCUAAGGGAACAUUUCAAAGGGGUGCGUGGAAGUUGGGCCCGCAAAUCCAAUUAAUUGCAGAUGUGGUUUGUGCCUAGAAUCACCACGCACCCCUUCAAAAGCAGCUGCCUGAGUGCAGCAGGACGUUGAAUGGAAAAUAUUGGGCAUACAGUGCUGGAGAAGGGCUGAAGUGGUCACCAAAUCUAGCUCCAAACCUGGCAGCAGGGAUGCUAUGAGGGGAAAAGUCCCUAUGUCUGUCCCUUCUUUCCUUCUUCCUGAGGAGCAGCCACUACCUGUGGCACUGGGGACUGGAAAUGCAGCUGGGAAUCAGCUAGCCCAAGAAAUCACCUGCACAAUCCUACACAAGCCAUCCCCUGGAGAGAAUGAACCUGGUGCCCAAACACACGGAGGGAACCUUAUUUCUAUCUAAUUUCUGCACUUAUAUGGCUUUUAUCCAAUUAUCAGACUUUUUACCAUCUAUAAUGUGUUCUUCUUCCCAGCAUACAGCCAAUUGCCCAGAAGGCAACUGCAUUGCCCGUGGAUGCAGUGAUAUGAUCAAGUUCACCCAAAGUCUGUGUCAGAGAAAGGAGCUGAGCCCAGGGCUCAUGCAGCAGGGACCAACCAUCACAGCAUGGGGCCUGGAUGCACUUCAUGGAAAAGGAUAUAGUGGUUGAAAAAGGGCCCAGUGUAAAUCCUGCCCUGCCUCUGCCAGUGCUGAGAUCAGCAGGUGAGCACAGAGCAUCUUUCGUGUUCUCCCUUCCCAGGGCACCUGGGCAGCUUACUGGGAGCAGCACAGCUGGAGUAGAUGGACAGUGGAUUCUCCAUUUGCCUUUGGAUUUCUGUUCUUAUGCUGGCACUGCUAUCAGUCCAUUCCCAGAAAUUAUAUUUUCCAAUGAUUUUUUUUUUUUUUUUCCAUUUCCAGAGCAGGUCAGAAUGUUGUGGUAAGUGUUUCUGUUAUGAGCAGUAAGUGAAUUAGGGAGAGGACACAGGGCAUGGCCAGGGCACUUCCACCAGCCCACAGCAACCAGAAACUGCAGGGCUGCGUCCCUGGGGAGCACUGCAGGCUGCUGAGACUGAGCAGAUUUCAGCAGGCCCUGCGCACCAAGGCAGAUGCUUAAUUACACAGUCCCAUAAAGAAAUUCUUCUUAAAAAUCCCAAUCUUGAGCCAAGAAGCACAGGAGACGAUCCUGCUUCACACGCUGCUGAAAGAAACUCUUUGGCCAAAAUUGCUCUGGCUGUUUUUCUGCGCUCCAGUAAACCUGGCUGCUGUCUCCGUCCUGCAGAUGACUUCAUUUCGGUAGAUUUCUCAGCCCAGGCUCUCUCUGCCUCAAAAGCAAUUGUUUGUGCUGCAGUUGGAAAAUGUGUAUCAUCGCAGUCACCUUUUUUCCACUGCAGAGUAAUUAAUCAAUACUUCUCAUGGAGAGGAGUCAAUUCUCGUUAAGCUGGGGGCUUCGCAGUGUUGCCGUUUGGUUUUUCUUUUGCAGAAGAGCUGUGACAUACCCAAAAGCCACUUUGUGCUCACGCUGUGGGCUGUGCUUGGUUGGGGAUGCACCAGGGUGAGGCCAAGUCCGCGUUGCAGGAAGUGUUUGGAAGUGCAGCGCUCAGCAUUGGUGCCAAGUGAAUGGAGGACACAUCUGAGCACUCAACGUGAAUAGGUGGGGAAAGGGAAGUGCAGCCCGGAGUGGCAGUGCAUGAGAACCAAACGCUGUAACAAAACGGUGUGUUUGGUUCUUCCGCAGCCUCGCGAGUUCCUUCCUGGCUCCAUGUGAUUUACUGUACAAUGUAGUACUGGAAGUCAUUAUUAUUACAAAGAAUCACUAAUUCAAUAACACUGCUAUCCUGCUUGAAUAACACCCAUACAAUAUUAAUGCGUUUCCCCCAUCAUAUUCAUUGCAGAACACAAAAGCUGUUAAUAGAAUGCAAGAAGUCUUAAGGCAAGGAGGCCGCUAAUGCUGCAGUCGCUGCUACCCAUGCAUUGCUAACGCCGAGUGAGGCUCUGGCAAUUAUGAUUGCAAAGCACAUUUUUGGAUGCCAUUCAUAAAAAACAAAUGGCUAAAAGUUAAAACUUCAAAUAGAAGUAGCAGAGCUGCCUGGCGUUACACGAUAACAUGGCACUUUAUUAUCGCUCCUCAAUUGUUUGACGUUUAUGCCUCUGUUUAGCACGUCUGUUCGUUAUCGUUCUCCAAUUAACAGACUUUUUUCAGAUUAUUUUUAUGAAAUUCUCAUUUAAUUAGCAAUACAGCUGAGUCUCAAAUGGCAGUUUUAAAAAUAUCCUCCCACCGAUCAAGCAGCCAAAUGGUCUUUCUGAGAUACUCGCAGAGUUGUAAACCUUAGUUUGUCUGCUCGUUAUCCCCCAGUUUAGACGAUGGGAAAGCAGGCACCUAACAAUCAAGGGUUGUUGACCGGAUGCUUUCAUUUUGCCCAGUAUAGAAAAAUACAAAUUUCACCUAUGAAAACCUUCUUGUGGACUUUUCUCAAGGAAAGGAUGUGGUUUAUCGAGCGAUUUUCAGAUUCCACACAAUAGAUGGGGAAUUAAAAUAAUGAACGACAAAUAAUGGAAAGCAGGUGCAAUGGGAGACGUCAGGCAAGCAUUCCACAGGCACCGAGCAAAAUGGGAGGAAAUAUAUUUAUAAUACAAUAAUGAAGGCAAAACAAAACAAAAAAAAACACCCACAAUAAAAUAAAAUCAAGAGCAAAAUUCAAGUGAAUGGGCCCUCCUGCUAGACAGCUGGAAACCAUUAUGGUAUUUAGCAAUGAACACACUAAUAAGCUUAAAACACACUUUUGCCAUACGUUGGUGGAUGUGUAGAGAUGGGUAGAAGUGGUGCAGUUGGCACAGUGGAUGGAAGGGAUACCAUCCCAAGGGGACAGGACAAGAAGUGGGCCCAUGUGAACCAAAUGAGGUUCAACAAGGCCAUCUGGAGUACUGCAUCCUGGCCUGGGGCACCCAGUACAAGAGAAACAUGGAGCUGUUGGAGUGGGUCCGGAGGAGGGCAUAAGGAUGCUCAGAAAGGCUGGAUGGGCUUUGGGUGUUCUUCCUGGAGAGGGGAGGGCUCCAGGGAGACCUCACUGUGGACCUCCAGCACUUGUGGGGAGCUUAUAAACAGGAAGGAGAGUGGAUUUUAUGUCGUCUAAUAGUGGUAGGAAAAGGGGGAGUGGCCUUAAACUGAAAGAAGGGAAAUUUAGGUUAGAUGUUAGGAAGAAAUUCUUUAUUCAGAGGGUGCUGAGCUGUGGGGCCACAUCCCAGGAGGAGCUAAGGGCCAUGGAUGGGCUCUGGGCAGCCUGAGCAGGUGGGGGGCAACCAGCCCACGGCAGGGGUUGGAAGUGGAUAAUCUUUAAGGUCCCUUCCAACCAAAGCCAUGAUUCUAUGUUUCAGGUUUUAAGUCUAAUUCCAGCAGAAGAUUUCUGCCUGUGCCAGAUGUGGUUUUCAGAUGCUGCACUGUGGCUUUGCUGCAUUCCUGGCCAACUGCAGCCAAGCAGACCCCUGGAGCCUUGCCAGAGAGGGAGAAGGAGUAAUGGGCCCUGGCUCCCUUGGUCUCAUCCAGAGCUGGACAUGUAUCCACGUUACAAAGGCACUGAUAUCUGGAUUCCCAUUGUGCUCAAACCAAAUGGUCUCCAAGAGCUGCUCAUCUCCUCUUGUAGGCUGGGC
rnacentral:lncRNA from 1 species